rnacentral:rRNA from 1 species
UGGAAACUGUNUGACUUGAGUGCAGAAGGGGAGAGUGGAAUUCCAUGUGUAGCGGUGAAAUGCGUAGAUAUAUGGAGGAACANCAGUGGCGAAAGCGGCUCUCUGGUCUGUCACUGACGCUGAGGCUCGAAAGCGUGGGUAGCGAACAGGAUUAGAUACCCUGGUAGUCCACGCCGUAAACGAUGAGUGCUAGGUGUUAGGCCCUUUCCGGGGCUUAGUGCCGGAGCUAACGCAAUAAGCACUCCGCCUGGGGAGUACGACCGCAAGGUUGAAACUCAAAGGAAUUGACGGGGGCCCGCACAAGCGGUGGAGCAUGUGGUUUAAUUCGAAGCAACGCGAAGAACCUUACCAGGUCUUGACAUCCCGAUGCUAUUCUUAGAGAUAGGAAGUUACUUCGGUACAUCGGAGACAGGUGGUGCAUGGUUGUCGUCAGCUCGUGUCGUGAGAUGUUGGGUUAAGUCCCGCAACGAGCGCAACCCUUAUUGUUAGUUGCCAUCAUUAAGUUGGGCACUCUAGCGAGACUGCCGGUAAUAAACCGGAGGAAGGUGGGGAUGACGUCAAAUCAUCAUGCCCCUUAUGACCUGGGCUACACACGUGCUACAAUGGUCGGUACAACGAGUUGCGAGCCGGUGACGGCAAGCUAAUCUCUGAAAGCCGAUCUCAGUUCGGAUUGGAGGCUGCAACUCGCCUCCAUGAAGUCGGAAUCGCUAGUAAUCGCGGAUCAGCACGCCGCGGUGAAUACGUUCCCGGGCCUUGUACACACCGCCCGUCACACCACGAGAGUUUGUAACACCCGAAGUCGGUGAGGUAACCUUUUAGGGGCCAGCC